UUUUGUUAGCUCCCUAGGGACAUCAGAGAUGACAAGGAGAACAAAAGAAGGCAGAGAAUGAAUUACAGAGGAGCCUGGAAAAGGGCUCUUAAUAGUCUGCGUCAUGAAACCACGUGACCAUAGUUGAGCCACCACGUGGCUCUGAGCCUCCCGCUACCCAAGAGGAGAGAGAAAAGCCUGCAUUUGCCUCACAGGACUGACUAUUUUGAUGGGGUCAGUUCACCUAAGGAGGAAAUACUCCCAUACUUUAUAUGCAGAACCUGCAGUUAAGCUGGCCAAGUCUUGGGGCAUUGCCCGUGUAUUGAGGAACAUCCUGCCAGAAGGCAAUUGAAGAACAGGAGAGAAGAAUUUCAGCGCCCAGCUCAACCAGCACAUUCCUCUGGCUGCUCUCGUGUGUUUCCUCAGCUGGGUGCCUUUCUUGGUGAAUGAGAGAAAGUGUGAGGAUUAGUGAACAGCUUGCUUGGGACACUGAUGAAACCACUUCCCAUGGCCACUUGGAGAUCUUACAUCAUCUUUGUGGUGGCUUGACCCAGGAAAUCCUCUGGAGAAACCAUAAUAUCCCUCAGAGGAUUUUUUCAGUUCUCAUCAAGAGGUGAAGCAUUUCAAGGAAUGUUUACAGAAAGGGGACAGGGAAGAGGAAAGGAGGAAGAAAGAGUAAUGUGGAGGAGGCGGAGGCAGAGGCAGAGGUAAUAGUAAGACUUGGGCUAGUGACAAAGAGGAAAUUAGUGUGAAAUGAUAAAAAACCAAAGAACCAGCUGCUAAGAAAGGAAACUCCAUGGAAAAUCCAAAGAAAGGUAAUGCCGUGAGGGGAGAGAGAAAGAGGCUCAGACGGAAGGUCAGUGCUCCUAGUGACCAAAAUGUCUGGAUUUCAGUCAGGACCAGACUCCCUAGUUUCUAUUGUGAUCUGAUUAUGUACUUAUUUAAAACAGCAUUAAUGUUUGCCAACAAAUGUCAGCACAGUGGCUGGCCCAGGACACAGGAGUCUGGAAGGUGGACCAGCCAAUUGGAGCAGGGGAGUCUUUUUGGGCACCCAGUGCGCCAGGCCAUGUGGUGCCUAGUCCCUGGGUGGUGGCUUUCCAUGAUAUUAAACCAUCACUUUGCCCCUGUUGACUGAAGUUUUAGCUAGGUUGCUGAGAUGAUUGGCUGAGUUGGGGUCCAGGGGCUGGCUGGACUGACCUAGGCGACAGCCCAGAAGCCAGGAGUCUGGCUGUAGAAUUUAUUGCUCUCCAAAAGAAUACAGCAGGAAAAGAAACCAGUGAGAAAGCUCUCGGCUUGUUUAUUAUGGUGGCUGGUGUCUGCCGUUGGCUGGCUCACAUGUGCAGAAUCAGAUGUUAACACCUGUAGUACCAACACCAUGCGACAGGUCUGGGGAAGAGAUGGCGUAGAUCCUACUGCUCUUAUUGGCUGUCUCUGAAGCAUCCUGAUCAUGUUUGCUGGCCCUACGUACUUCCUGGGGUGAGGAUUGUGGAGUCACAAAGCAGGAGUGUUGAAAAGCAUCCUGAGUCUUCUGGAGAGAAAAGGAAAGAAACAUUCAAUGAAGAUUUUCUGUAUCCCAGGGAAUUCACAUGUCUUCACCGAUCAGGUUUUUCUCGAAGUCUACAAUAGGCAGUAUUAGCUCCCUUUAUAGGGGAUACUCAAAGGUUUCUGAGAUUCAGAGAGAUUGUGU